GGGGAAUAUUGCACAAUGGGGGAAACCCUGAUGCAGCGACGCCGCGUGGAGGAAGAAGGUCUUCGGAUUGUAAACUCCUGUUGUUGAGGAAGAUAAUGACGGUACUCAACAAGGAAGUGACGGCUAACUACGUGCCAGCAGCCGCGGUAAAACGUAGGUCACAAGCGUUGUCCGGAAUUACUGGGUGUAAAGGGAGUGCAGGCGGGAAGACAAGUUGGAAGUGAAAUCCAUGGGCUCAACCCAUGAACUGCUUUCAAAACUGUUUUUCUUGAGUAGUGCAGAGGUAGGCGGAAUUCCCGGUGUAGCGGUGGAAUGCGUAGAUAUCGGGAGGAACACCAGUGGCGAAGGCGGCCUACUGGGCACCAACUGACGCUGAGGCUCGAAAGUGUGGGUAGCAAACAGGAUUAGAUACCCUGGUAGUCCACACUGUAAACGAUGAUUACUAGGUGUUGGAGGAUUGACCCCUUCAGUGCCGCAGUUAACACAAUAAGUAAUCCACCUGGGGAGUACGACCGCAAGGUUGAAACUCAAAGGAAUUGACGGGGGCCCGCACAAGCAGUGGAGUAUGUGGUUUAAUUCGACGCAACGCGAAGAACCUUACCAAGUCUUGACAUCCUGCGACGCACAUAGAAAUAUGUGUUUCCUUCGGGACGCAGAGACAGGUGGUGCAUGGUUGUCGUCAGCUCGUGUCGUGAGAUGUUGGGUUAAGUCCCGCAACGAGCGCAACCCUUAUGGUCAGUUACUACGCAAGAGGACUCUGGCCAGACUGCCGUUGACAAAACGGAGGAAGGUGGGGAUGACGUCAAAUCAUCAUGCCCUUUAUGACUUGGGCUACACACGUACUACAAUGGCGUUAAACAAAGAGAAGCAAGACCGCGAGGUGGAGCAAAACUCAGAAACAACGUCCCAGUUCGGACUGCAGGCUGCAACUCGCCUGCACGAAGUCGGAAUUGCUAGUAAUCGCAGAUCAGCAUGCUGCGGUGAAUACGUUCCCG
rnacentral:rRNA from 1 species